rnacentral:rRNA from 1 species
UACAGGGGGGGCAAGCGUUGUUCGGAAUUACUGGGCGUAAAGGGCUCGUAGGCGGCCAACUAAGUCCGACGUGAAAUCCCAAAGCUUAACUUUGGAACUGCGUCGGAUACUGGAUGGCUUGAAUUCGGGAGAGGGAUGCAGAAUUCCAGGUGUAGCGGUGAAAUGCGUAGAUAUCUGGAGGAAUACCGGUGGCGAAGGCGGCAUCCUGGACCGACAUUGACGCUGAGGAGCGAAAGCCAGGGGAGCAAACGGG